rfam:Camelus ferus unplaced genomic scaffold scaffold386, whole genome shotgun sequence.
GAGGGUAUAGUUCAGUGUAGAGUGUGUGCUUAGCAUGCACAAGGUCCUGGGUUCAAUUCGUAGUACCUCCA